rnacentral:pre_miRNA from 1 species
GUUUCAGUUUUCAUUUUCAGAUUAACCUUUUCCCUUGUUUAUAUAUAUAAACAAGGGAAAAGGUUAAUCUGAAAAUGAAAACUGAAACUUCAGAUAC